ensembl:lncRNA
GAUGAAAGUCUGAAGUCUGAGGUCUACAAGCUACGCCGGAAAGUGGCCGAACAGGAGAAGAAGCUCUACAGUAUGGCCAGGCGCUUGUAUUCCACCAACCAACUCAAGGAAAACAUGGAGAGGGUCAUCAUAGAUCAGUGUGAGUGGGGGGAGGUCUUCCAUCUUCUCUGCUCUUUGUCCUGCUUCUGAGCUCCACAGUGACCUCAGAAGGCUGAAAUGGACCAACCCCUGGUCUGACCCAGUGCCAUUCCCCUACUUUUUUUCUCCCCAGCACCAAGUAGCAAGCUAGAUCUCAGUUGACUAGCCAUAAGGGAUGUGGUGGCUCAGUGGCUAAGAGGCUGAGCUUGUUGAUUAGAAAGGUCGGCAGUUCGGUGGUUCGAAUCCUUAGCGCCGCGUCACGGAGUGAGCUCCCAUUCCUUGUCCCAGCUUCUGCCAACCUAGCAGUUCGAAAGCACGUAAAAAAAUGCAAGUAGAAAAAUAGGAACCCCUUUGGUGGGAAGGAAAAAGCAUUCCGUGUGCCUUCAGCAUUUAGUCCUGCCGGCCACAUGACCAUGAGAUGUCUUCGGACAGCGCUGGCUCUUCGGCUUUGUAACAGAGAGGAGCACCACCCCCUAGAGCAGGAAACAACUUGCAUGGAUGUGCGAGGAGGGGAACCUUUACCUUUAAGGGAUGCUUAGUGUGGACAUCACUUGAGAAAAUGUCCAGUUGGGAGUCUGAGAUGUGUCCGGAGUAAAGAAUUACAGAAUAACAGAGAUGGAAGGGACCUUGGAGGUCUUCUAGCCCAACUUCCUGCUCAUUCAGGAGAUCCGAUGCCAUUCCAGACAAAUCUCAAGCCAAACUAACACUAACACUCUUUCUGUUUGCAGUGGCGUUAACACACAAUGUUUUAAAAAAGGCCAGAGGAAACCUUGAAGUUCAGCCAUCAGACAACAAAGCCACCCCUUCCAGCCUCAUCAAAAAGAGGGUUUAAGCGGACGUUUCCGGGGGGUCUACAAUAAAGACCAUUUUCCUUUGCCGAGCUGGUGCUUUCGGGUACUUCUUUCCUCCAAGGCCUUAAUAUCCCUUACAAUCUCCACCUUGUUACUCCGGCGUUUUCUACCCCGAUGUCUUCUGGAUAUCCAGACUGCAACACUCUCUCUUACGCCGAGGAGGGUUAAAUUUGGUACCGAUUUUUUUCCCCCCUCCUUCUCCAGCUUUCUCUGGCUGGGCCAACCUCGGCGCUUGCCUUUUGCUCACUUUACCUGUCAGCGGCACGAAGACGGAUCUGCUGUCAAGAAGGCCAGCGAAGGCCGAGUUAAUUUAGGCAGGCAGAGUUUUUGGAGUGUGGGAAACUCAGAGGUGGGAACGUGGGAAACUCUCGUGCGCAGAGUAAAAGUCUUGCAAAUCUUUGCUUGAAGGUCUUGGCUGAAAACAACUCGCUUGCAGGGUUCUGAUCUCCAUCACUGCAGCCGCCCGAGAGGAUCCUGAAGUGAAAAGAAAAUGGAGGUGUUGCUUUGCACAGAACAGCUUGCUCUCCUCCCCUCUACCCCCCACUCCAUCCCAUAAUUGCAGAAUCUUGCAUCUUUCCUUCGCAGCUCAGAUGGAGGCGUUAGUUGGAGCCACUUCAACCACAACAAUUGGCUGUUCCUGGCUCACAUUGGCAAAGUUUACCUGUUGAAUCUGGGGGAAGGGAGAUGUGUAUCACUUUACUGGGUUGUAGGUAGGACUUCUCCACCCCUAAACUGCAGGGGACCUUCUGCUACCUCCUUUUUUGGGCAGAGCACCUGCCUCUAAAUUGCCACUCAGCUUCUUGGCUGCUUGGACAAUGUGCAACUGCCACUCGGAUGCCCAUUGGACCGGAAAAGUAGCCAUAAAGUUGACAAGGUCCAUCUUUAAAUGUCCUCUCCAUCCCAAAUGGAGGAGUAGAUUCCAGUUGGGCUUUAGAUGUUGUCCUUUCUCAAGGACCUGAGCUCCAGAUAUUUUCUCCGAUGACGUGGUUGAAAUUUGGAAGCUACAUUUGACCUCCUUUUUGCCUUGUUCAAAACUCCAGGAAUCAAACUCCUCCAAACCCCGGGGCAGAAGGUCCAAAAAUUGCAGGUCCAUCUCUCUCAUGACCACCUCCCAUUGUCUUCAUGUCCACACUAAGCUGUUAAAAAAAGUGACAUAGUUCAGAGUUUGAUUUUCAUUUUUUAAAAAAAAUUGCCAUCUUUUGUUCUAUAAUAUUCCUUUCGAGCAUUCUUGCAUCUAAACCAUUCCUGUAGACUACUUUAGAAUGUGUUGGUUUUCUGUGAUAUGUUUCUUGUUUGCUAUGGCAUCAGACUUGUAUAACUACCAUUUUAGAAAUCGUCCUGAGCUUCUUUUUAAGGCAGGAUUUAAAAGAAGUAUUUAUUUAUCGGUGUCUCGGUUGGGUGCACCAACUCUGAUGGAAAACCUAGCUAGCUAGACUUCUGUCUUAAUCAACCUGGAUGUUUCUUAGAGUCUCACCCCAAGAUAAUUUCAAAUCCACAUUAUUUCUUUUACUGCUAUCCUAUCUUCUCCAUCCCAGACUGAUAACUUCUUUCCUAUUAGGAAAAAAAAAUAACAAGUGAAGCAGCCCUUAAGGAACAUAGUUAGAUUAAACCAUCCUGGCCAAAAAUUGUCUUAAUUUUUCUCCAGACCUCUCCAGGCAAUUAGUGCCAGCAGAAAUACUAAGCAGAAUAAUUAAAAUGAUAACUGGAUGGUUUGGUUAGGAAUUUUCAGACAGCCAAGGAAAUGUAGAAAGCUAAUGCCGGGUGAUUUUCUUUUCGUGGAAAUGGCAAAUAGUGGUGUGGGUUUUUUUGGGGAGAGAAGGACAAGAGUCCACCGGCAAAUUUGGUGGUACAGAGAUGGUUCUCCUUGGUUCUCCGUUUCUGAGUUGCGUUAGUAGACUUGAUCAAGUCUAUUUAUGGCUGUUGGACCGUAAGUCCCAUCAUUUCAACACUGGCCUCACUUGGUGGGACCUUCAAUGAGAUCUGUCAGCUUGCAUGUCAACCAUCUCUGAGGCUUUGAUGAUCUAUUGAGGAUAGAAGUAUAAGAACAUGGGCGCUUCUUGAAGCAUUAAAAGUUCCACCUUAUCUAUCAAAGAGAUGGAUUUUCUCCAGAGAUUACGAACAACUAGAAAGAUGAAUAGUUACCAAAGGGGAAAAAAAAACUCUUGAAAAAUCAGAACUUCCAAGAUAAAUAGAUCCAGAGUUGGCCUUCAACUUCCAGCCAUGAAGCGAAGGCUUGGCUCCUGCAGGGAAUAAAUUACUUCCUCAUAAAAAAAACUCUCACCUUUCUGGCUUUGCUUAUUACAUCUGGACGGCUGGAUUCCAGCUUUUUUCAUCGUUUCCUUUUAUACGGUACACAGCUAAUAUUUUUUCCCCCCUAACUUUAAAAUGUGUGUGCGUACAGAGGGAUGGAUUUAUGCUCCGGCUGAGUUGUAUGUAGUAAAGUGUGUGAGAGACAAGGAAAUUGAUUUCAAGAACAAGAUGUUAAGGUCCACGUUUCCAGUUCAAUAAAUGGAUCUCUUUGCUUUAAAAAGUUGUGUGCAGUUGUUAUUAUUUUUUGCCUGAAACUAGCACGGUCCACCUUGAAUUUCUUCUCAAAAUCUGCACUUUAUCCUUUUAUUUUUAUUUCUUCAUAAAUACUUUUUAAGCCACCUCAAACCUAAAAGAUCCUAACAGUUGGGGAAAAUGUUUUCUCUAGCUUUGGGGAGUCCCAACUUUUGAGAUACGGUUUUGCAUCCAAGAGGCCGAAAGCUAACACAGCCAACUCUUGAUUUAAAACUGGUUGCUUUCGUGGUAACUUGGUCCUCAACACUGAUAAGACCAAGGAGCUUACAGUGGACGAUAGAAGGAACAGAUCAGCUCUUAUCAAUAGAGACCGCGGGGAGCAAGUGGCCAGUUUUAAGUUUCUGGGUGUUACCCUAAAAGAGGACCUGACCUGAGGUGCCCACAUUGCAGCCCUGGUCAAAAGGGCCCAGCAGAGAUUAUACUACCUGAGGCUUCUCAGAAAACAACAACUGAAUGGAAAAUUACUGGUGACCUUCUACUGCUGCACCAUAGAGAGUAUCUUAACUUACAGCCCCUGUGUGUGGUUUGCCAAUUGCACAGGGACAGCAUUCCAGAAGGUGAACAUAAUUGCCCAGAGGAUCAUGGGUUGCCCUCUCCCCUCUUUGGAAGAACUUUAGAGCUCCUGCUGCCUUAAGAAAGUUCAAAACAUCCUCAAAGAUCCAUCUCAUCCUGGGAACCCUUUUGUUGAACUAUUACCAUCUGGGCAGACGAUACAGGACAAUAAAAACAAGGACAAAUAGGCUGAAAAACAGCUUCUACCCCAGACCAGUAACUCUUGAAUUCCACUCUAUAAUGCAAUAUUAAUGCAAUAUCAGGGGUUUUCAGUUCAAUUGUAUAGAAUGCAAAGGAUGUGUGUUUGUGUUUAGUUUUUUUUUAAUGUAUAUAAUGUACACUGAAGAUGGCAUUUAAUUUCGUUGAACGAGGUGCAGUGGAAUAAAGUAAACUAAAUAACUACAGCCUCAGUUGUGGC